UGCCAGCCGCCGCGGUAAUACGUAGGGUGCGAGCGUUAAUCGGAAUUACUGGGCGUAAAGCGUGUGUAGGCGGCUACACAAGUCAGAUGUGAAAGCCCCGGGCUCAACCUGGGAACUGCGUUUGAAACUGUGUAGCUUGAGUUCGGCAGGGGAAGAUGGAAUUCCGUGUGUAGCAGUGAAAUGCGUAGAUACACGGAAGAACACUAAUAGCGAAGGCAUUCUUCUGGGCCGAUACUGACGCUGAGACACUAAAGCGUGGGUAGCGAACAGGAUUAGAUA
rnacentral:rRNA from 1 species